rnacentral:lncRNA from 1 species
AUGGGAUGUUAGUUGGUACAGGCGGGGGUUUCCAGGACCCGCACGCCCUUUCGGAGUGUCUGCUGGAGGGAUCCGGUGUGUCAGUGAGAUGGCUGUGCCCUUGGGCUGCUGUGUCCCAGGUUUCCUCAGUCUCUAACCCUUUGUUCUCACAGGGGAUGGACUCUUGCUUCUUUUCCCAACUCCACCAAGAGGGACCGUCCCAGGACGUCCUUCCCCGGGCAUCCGGCCCUACAGCUGCCUGAGGUCUCCAUCACCAUUGGUGCCAUCAGUCUGCUGUGCAGCCAGCUCUUGGUUUGGAGAGCCUGAAGAAUUGCAGUUCACGUCUCAUCUAAAGGAGCUGAAAUGAUAUUGCAGCUUUUUCUUUUGGUUGUGUGCGGUGAGAAUCUGGGAGCUGAACCUGUUAUCUGCACGGUCUUCAGAAAUCAGGCAAACUCGGAAAAUGCCAAUGCCAAAAAUGCUGAUGAGUGACAAAGUGUCACAGGUGUGAUGCAUUACAAAUCUCAGGACUUUUGCUCACUGGAUUUGAAAGGUCAAGCUUCACAGGAAAAUGAUGAAAUCCCAAAAGACCAGAAAUAUAUUUCAGAAGAUGCCAGUUAAUGCUUUAAAAUGUCAAACCAACAUUUCAGAAAUAACUUUCAAUGGAGGCAGGAAUGAUUAUUUCCUUCCAAGAAGGUGAACGCUGGAGACCUUCAUGGUGGAAGACGGAGGGCAUCUUUCCUUCCGUUAAGCUGACAACUUGGCUUCCAUCUUGUGAGGACCUCACCCUACCUGGCGGUGGAGGAUAUCUGACGCCCUCAAUCAUUGCCAUUACACUUCCCAGCCUGGUGGUCAGUCUCCUGGGGUCUGUGUGUUAACAAACCGUCGACUGGACAAUCGCAGUUUUCCUUACAAAGGCUUACUUUAAAAAGGCUCUGGAUUUUCAGAAGCGAAGUCGCUUUCAUCCCCGAUUCAGACCCAUCCUAGUGGAGGAAAAAUCCUACCAGAAGAAGGGCUGACCAUAGGAACUUGCCAUUUCCUUGACCCCAUCAUAUCUGAGGAAAAAACAACAGAAAAGGUCAAAACCCACGUGUACCCCCAACGUCCUGAUUGACGACUUUGCCUGCAGCUUCUGCUUUCCUGAAAUUCGCUGCUGCCUUUAGAACCCUUCUCUGCAGCCAGUGGGGAGUUCAGGACUUAGGCGGAGCUGCCCCACCCUCCUGCUUGGCACCCUGCAAACACAUGCCCUCCCUUCCAUCGCUGCAGACCUCAGAGUGGGCAUCCGGUCUCCCAUGCGGGAAGAGAAUACACGCCCUUCCUUCAAUCGCUGCAGACCUCACAGUGGACGUCCGGUCUCCUGUGUGGGAUGAGAAUACACUCCUUCCCUUCUAUCACUGCAGACCUCACAGUGGACGUCCGGUCUCCUGUGUGGGAUGAGAUACACUCCUUCCCUUCCAUCGCUGCAGACCUCACAGUGGACGUCCGGUCUCCUGUGUGGGAUGAGAAUACACUCCUUCCCUUCUAUCACUGCAGACCUCACAGUGGACGUCCAGUCUCCUGUGUGGGAUGAGAUACACUCCUUCCCUUCCAUCGCUGCAGACCUCACAGUGGACGUCCGGUCUCCUGUGUGGGAUGAGAAUACACGCCCUCCCUUCCAUCACUGCAGACCUCAGAGUGGACGUCCGGUCUCCCGUGCGGGAUGAGAUACACUCCUUCCCUUCUAUCACUGCAGACCUCACAGUGGACGUCCGGUCUCCUGUGUGGGAUGAGAUACACUCCUUCCCUUCCAUCGCUGCAGACCUCACAGUGGACGUCCGGUCUCCUGUGCGGGCCAAGUGUACACAGUUUUGUUCCAUCACAAUUUCCAUGUCAGGCCAGUGUGAGGUUUUUGAGCUGGUGCUGACUGAAAACUGUCAGCUGCCCAAGGACCUGGGAGCUCUGCUCCCCACUCCUGGUGUGCGGCCUUGUACCUGGCCUCCCUGCCUAGGUUACAUGCAGUGGUCAUCCCGGUCACUCCCACACCCCUGUGGGCUCUGGGAUCCUCCCUUCCAGCCAGUCCAGGGGACAUCUGGCUGUCUCAGGACCUGGCCAUCUGUAAAAAUUAGGCAGGUCCCUUUAGUAUGCUCCUGGUCAACAAAGAAAAACUUCAAUUUUGAGAAUGGCGUCUGUAUUCCGAAGUGUUCUCUCAGAUGUUUGAGUUCCACUAAGUAGAUUUUCUUAGUCUGCUUUAUCAAUGACACAGAGAGACGUGCAUUAAAACCUCAACCAUGUUGAUCUAUUUCUUUUCAGUUAAUUUUGCUUCAUGUAUCUUGAAGCUCUGUUAUCAGGUGCAUGCACGUUUGAGAUUGUUAUGCUUUCCUGAUGAACUGACCUUCUUUCAUUAUGAAAGGGGAAGAAGAUGCUGCAUACAGGAUGGGAUAUCCAGGGGAAGAUUUCUAAGGAGAGACGCCCAGCUGGAAGUCAAAAUGUGUCAGUUGUUUGCAUUAUAAUAAAACCACUCAUGUUAGAUGAGCUGAACUUUCCCUUUUCCCCAGUUCUUAUGAUCAAAAAGUGGCUGUCCUAAAUUUCAUCACUUAAUAUCCUUGCUAGAGUCUUCCUUUGUCAGCCAGGCUGGAGUGCAAUGGCGCAAUCUGGGCUCACUGCAACCUCUGUCUCCCGGGCUCAAGCAAUUCUUCUGCCUCAGCCUCCUGAGUAGCUGGGAUUAUAGGUAUGCACCACCACGCCCGACUAAUUUUUGUAUUUCAGUGGAGACGAGGUUUCACCAUGUUGGCCAGGCUGGUCUCAAUCUCCUGACCUCAGGUAAUCUGCCCACCUUGGCCUCCCAAAGUGCUGGGAUUACAGACAUGAGCCAUCAUGCCCAGACAUAAGUGAGUUUUAUAUUGUAUUAUAACACUAUGAUACAGUAAAACCAUGAAAUCCAAAUUUAUAAUAUCACACUAUAUAAUACAACUGUAACCUCACCGCCCUAUCCUGGGAUGUGUGUCAUUUUUAUAGCCAAUUAUGGUCCCCAGCUUUAGUUUUCUUUUGCUUAUUGGAGAGUGUAAUUCUCCCUUAUUCUUUCUGCUUUCUACAGUCUUGUGUACAUCAGUUAUCUGUUUUUGUCCUUUUGCCAGUGUUCAAAGUGUAUUUUUCGUAUUUACUUAAGCUCCUGUGGGGAGAUUAGAAUUUCUUCCCCUAAGAAGAAAUAAGUAAUAGUGGAGACCUGCUGGGCGCUCGUGGUGCCAGGCCUGGCUCCGGGGCUGCCCAUCCAUCCUCACAGCGCAGUGACUGGAGGGUCUUGCCCUGAGGUCCCGUGUGUGGAGCAGGGCUUGGCAUUCACUCCUAGGCACUGCUGACUCAGUCUGUCCUGGUGGGGCUGGGAGGCCGAAACCCGUCAUGCAUGUAAACCGUGGGGCUCCGUCUGGCAUGGUGCACCUGUGCUGGGAGUGCCUAUAGAGUAGGAAAAGUAUUCCUGGACCUUUAAAAAACUUAGGCCAAAAAAGUGUUCUGGUUGAAUCUUCAGCCAAAUUGGAGCCGCAAACUGUAUUAUUUCCCCUUUUGUGAAUUCUUUGGAAAAUUCGAGCAAAUAAAUAUGCAUUUCCCAGUG